rnacentral:rRNA from 1 species
UACGAAGGGGGCUAGCGUUACUCGGAAUUAUUGGGCGUAAAGCGUGCGUAGGCGGUUUUACAAGUUGGAAGUGAAAGCCCGGAGCUCAACUCCGGAAUUGCUUUCAAAACUGUUUAACUAGAGUACUGAAGAAGAUAGCGGAAUUCCUAGUGUAGAGGUGAAAUUCGUAGAUAUUAGGAGGAACACCAGUGGCGAAAGCGGCUAUCUGGUCAGAUACUGACGCUGUUGCACGAAAGCGUGGGGAGCAAACAGG